rnacentral:rRNA from 1 species
CAGUCGCCGCGGUAAUACGUAGGUCCCGAGCGUUGUCCGGAUUUAUUGGGCGUAAAGCGAGCGCAGGCGGUUAGGUAAGUCUGAAGUUAAAGGCUGUGGCUUAACCAUAGUACGCUUUGGAAACUGUUUAACUUGAGUGCAAGAGGGGAGAGUGGAAUUCCAUGUGUAGCGGUGAAAUGCGUAGAUAUAUGGAGGAACACCGGUGGCGAAAGCGGCUCUCUGGCUUGUAACUGACGCUGAGGCUCGAAAGCGUGGGGCGCAAACAGGAUUAGAUACCCGUGUAGUCCCUGUCUCUUAUACA